rnacentral:rRNA from 1 species
GAGUUUGAUCGUGGCUCAGGAUGAACGCUGGCGGCGUGCCUAAUACAUGCAAGUCGAGCGGUAACACUUCGGGUGACGAGCGGCGGACGGCAGAGUAACACGUAGGAACGUACCCCAAACUGAGGGAUAAGCACCGGAAACGGUGUCUAAUACCGCAUGUGAUCUUCGGAUUAAAGCUUCGGCGGUUUGGGAACGGCCUGCGCAUGAUUAGCUUGUUGGUGAGGUAAAAGCUCACCAAGGCGACGAUCAUUAGCUGGUCUGAGAGGAUGAUCAGCCUGACUGGGACUGAGAACGGCCCAGACUCCUACGGGAGGCAGCAGUAGGGAAUAUUCACAAUGGGGGCAACCCUGAUGGAGCAACGCCGCGUGCAGGACGAAAGGC